GAAAAAGUUGGCUGACUCUUGCUCUAGGAGUCAAUUUGAAGUCCUAAACGAAAAACACCAGGGAUGGAUUCACCUUCCUGUCUGUAAUCCAGAACCCUCAAAAACUGUUUAGAAAUAUUAUUUUUGGGCUGGUCCGGUGGUGCAGUGGUUAAGAGAGCAUGUUCCACUUCUUGGCGGCCCGGGGUUCGCCAGUCCAGAUCCCGGGUGCAGACAUGACAACGCUUGGCACGCCAUGCUGUGGUAGGUGUCCCACAUAUAAAGUAGAGGAAAAUGGGCACGGAUGUUAGCUCAGGGCCAGUCUUCCUGGGCAAAAAGAGGAGGAUUGGCAGAUGUUAGCUCAGGGCUAAUCUUCCUCAAAAAAAAAAAAAAAAAAAAAAAAGAAAUAUUUUCUUCAAGCCCUCCCCGACUGGGGUUUCUGUCAUUUAGUUCAGUAUCUCUCAAGCUUUUAAACAAUACACUUGGACAUGGGAGGGAGUGUGCCAUUGUGGCUUUGGAAUAAGAAAAAUCCGGAUUUGAGCCCUGGUUCUGCCACUUACUAGCUGUACGACUUUCAAGUCCUAUCACCUCAUUAAAUUAAUCUUGGAAUCCUCUUCUUUAAAACGAGGAUAGUAACAGUGGUAAAUGGAAUACUGUGUAUAACAUGAUCAGUACUCUAGCUGGUACUUGGUAAGCACUCAACAUGUGAUAGGUACUAAGCAGUAGUAGUAAUAGUGGUAGUAGAAAUAAGAGAAGUGUCGGUCAGUGUGGUUGACAUGCUAUCGCAGUGAAGGUGUAUUUUGAUUGGGAGAUUGGGCUGAGGUUGCAGCUCUGUUCCCUGAGGAAAGCCAGGUCAUGAGGGAGAUACGUGGUGCGGCAGAUUGAUUCAUUCCAGGACUACUGUGCUUGUGAGGAGCCAGGCCCUGUUCUAGGUCUUAGGUCUGCAAUGGUGAGCAGGUGAGGUCCCUGUUCUCAUGAAGCUGGUGUUCUGGUGAGGGGAGACAGAUGACAGUCGAGAAACCUGCAGGCGGCUGGAAGUGCCAUGUGGGAAAUGUAGCAGGAUGAUGGGAUCCCGGGCUGGGAGGGCAAGACUGGGUCUGCUUCAGACUGGGUAGUGAGGGAGGGCCUCUCUGAGGGAGCAGCAUCUGAACUGAGAUCUGACGAUGGUGAGAAGCCAACCAGGUGAACACUGGAGGUGAGGGGAAGGUUACAGACAGAGGGAGCAAGGUGCAAGGCCUUGAGAGGAUCAAGCUUGUUAUGUUUGAGGAGCAGAAGGUUGGCGAGGCUUAGCUGGAGUCAGGUCAGGGAGGGCCUUGCAGGGCGUGGUGAGUAGAUACGGAAAUAUACCUCCAAGGGGAAAAAAGGUACAGUUGUAAUGACAAUGAAGACAAGGGAGAUAAAGGAAAAAGGGAGUGUGCUAGGCGCUGCAGCCGGGGUUCCCUGUGUUCUACCGGGAGCGCCUUGCGUUCCUCUCUCAGUACGCCCAUCAAGGUUGGGGAGGCAUGGUGCCCACAUUCUUCCAGCCACAGAUGGACUUUGAUUCCUCCCACAUCCUUUCCCUUCCCUUCGCCAGCCACUUUCCAAAUUCCGCCAAGACUAGCUCAUCAGUGUCCCCGCACCUGUCCUCGCACCACACCAUCUCUGCCCCCCUGGGUCAGGCUCUCAUUACUUGGCCUGGGUGUGAGCAGGUCUCCCAGGUGCCCUCUCACUGUUGCCUCCAUUAUACACACUGCUGUGCGUUAGCAGCACACUCUGCCCAGAACCAGGUCUGAGUAGGCUGCCUUCCUGUCCCCUUGCCUCCUAAGGGCUCCCUUUAGGCAGGAGAAUAAAUGAUAAAACCUUUGUCCUGGCAUUCUUUGUACCUCACCGAUUUUCCAGCCAUAGCUUCCAUUUCAUGUAGUCACGUGCCUUCGGCUUAACUGAACUCCUCCUGAUUCCGUAGUGAUGCUGUGAGCUCUCUGCUGGGAGGUCCUCCCUGCAAACCUACCUGUUGUUCAAGGCCCAUCCCCAUGUCGCCUUCUUUGUGAAGCUUCCCCUGACCCCCACACCUGAGAGGACCCUGCCUCUGACCCUUGGAGACACUUUGCUUGUGCCUCUUCCAUGGUGCUCCUCUCCUAAAUGUCUGGAAAUUACUUCUGCACAUAUGACGCUGUCCCUUCUAACUCCUGCCGCCUCCAGGUCUGGAACUGACGGUCACUCAGGCUGGUUUCCUUCAAGGGUUCAGCCACCACCUAGUCAUACAUUUUUUACCAGGAGAAGCUAUAUUGAUACAAAAAUAAAGAAAUAAAUAAUAAAUGUCAAAUGAGUAGUAUCGCUAG
rnacentral:lncRNA from 1 species